rnacentral:tRNA from 1 species
GGGAAUAAAGCUCAGUGGUAGAGCACUUGCCUAGUACACAUGAGGGCCUGGGUUCAAUUCUUAGCACUGUUA